rnacentral:rRNA from 1 species
CCUACGGGGCAGCAGUGGGGAAUAUUGGACAAUGGGCGGAAGCCUGAUCCAGCCAUGCCGCGUGUGUGAAGAAGGCCUUUUGGUUGUAAAGCACUUUAAGCGAGGAGGAGGCUACUAGUACUAAUACUACUGGAUAGUGGACGUUACUCGCAGAAUAAGCACCGGCUAACUCUGUGCCAGCAGCCGCGGUAAUACAGAGGGUGCGAGCGUUAAUCGGAUUUACUGGGCGUAAAGCGUGCGUAGGCGGCUUUUUAAGUCGGAUGUGAAAUCCCCGAGCUUAACUUGGGAAUUGCAUUCGAUACUGGGAAGCUAGAGUAUGGGAGAGGAUGGUAGAAUUCCAGGUGUAGCGGUGAAAUGCGUAGAGAUCUGGAGGAAUACCGAUGGCGAAGGCAGCCAUCUGGCCUAAUACUGACGCUGAGGUACGAAAGCAUGGGGANCAAACAGGAUUAGAUACCCUGGUAGUCCAUGCCGUAAACGNUGUCUACUAGCCGUUGGGCCUUGAGUCUUAGUGCGNGAGNGACGACGAGAGUAGAACGUCCGUGGUUAGUUACGUCGCGAGACGUUAACGACGAAGAGUUAGAGGCGNGAGACGAGCGAGGACGACGACGAGGGAGGAGG